GACGAACGCUGGCGGCGUGCUUAACACAUGCAAGUCGAACGGAAAGGCCCUGCUUUUGUGGGGUGCUCGAGUGGCGAACGGGUGAGUAACACGUGAGUAACCUGCCCUUGACUUUGGGAUAACUUCAGGAAACUGGGGCUAAUACCGGAUAGGAGCUCCUGCUGCAUGGUGGGGGUUGGAAAGUUUCGGCGGUUGGGGAUGGACUCGCGGCUUAUCAGCUUGUUGGUGGGGUAGUGGCUUACCAAGGCUUUGACGGGUAGCCGGCCUGAGAGGGUGACCGGCCACAUUGGGCCUGGGAUACGGCCCAGACUCCUACGGGAGGCAGCAGUGGGGAAUAUUGCACAAUGGGCGGAACCCUGAUGCAGCAACGCCGCGUGCGGGAUGACGGCCUUCGGGUUGUAAACCGCUUUCGCCUGUGGCGAAGCGUGAGUGACGGUAAUGGGUAAAGAAGCACCGGCUAACUACGUG
rnacentral:rRNA from 1 species